GAGCCAGGCCUCGAUGAGU
rnacentral:snRNA from 1 species